rnacentral:rRNA from 1 species
CCUACGGGAGGCAGCAGUGAGGAAUAUUGGUCAAUGGUCGGGAGACUGAACCAGCCAAGCCGCGUGAGGGAUGAAGGUACAGAGUAUCGUAAACCUCUUUUGUCAGGGAACAAAGGCGGGGACGUGUCCCCUGAUGAGUGUACCUGAAGAAAAAGCAUCGGCUAACUCCGUGCCAGCAGCCGCGGUAAUACGGAGGAUGCGAGCGUUAUCAGGAUUUAUUGGGUUUAAAGGGUGCGCAGGCGGUCUGUUAAGUCAGUGGUUCAAGCCCGGGGCUCAACCCCGGCCCGCCGUUGAAACUGGCAGUCUCGAGUUGGAGAGAAGUAUGCGGAAUGCGCGGUGUAGCGGUGAAAUGCAUAGAUAUCGCGCAGAACUCCGAUUGCGAAGGCAGCAUGCCGGCUCCACACUGACGCUGAGGCACGAAAGCGUGGGUAUCGAACAGGAUUAGAUACCCCUGGUAGUC